rnacentral:rRNA from 1 species
UACAGAGGGUGCGAGCGUUGUUCGGAAUUACUGGGCGUAAAGGGUUCGUAGGUGGCCAACUAAGUCAUACGUGAAAUCCCUCAGCUUAACUGGGGAACUGCGUCUGAUACUGGUUGGCUUGAGUGCAGGAGAGGAACGCGGAAUUCCAGGUGUAGCGGUGAAAUGCGUAGAUAUCUGGAGGAACACCGGUGGCGAAGGCGGCGUUCUGGACUGCAACUGACACUGAGGAACGAAAGCCAGGGGAGCAAACGGG